rnacentral:miRNA from 1 species
AUGCUGUUGCCUCCUCUUGCCCUAACAGCCGUUUGUUAGGCUUAAUCUGAACUGAGAAGCAUGGAUUCGAGAAAAAACAAAAAACAAAAACAAAACCAAAAAAGCCCAAAGCUA